CAGAUGACUUUAACAGAGGGCCCAGUGUUACCACUCUUCAGAGUCUUCCUGGCCUCAGCAGCUGACAGCAGAAACAGGACAGCUCCUCAGGAUGGACACAGCUCAAAGGCAUGUCCCUACGUACCUUGCUCUGUCCAUCUUUAACCUGUUAUGCUGCUGCUUCCCACUUGGAAUAGUUGCCCUGGUCUUUUCUCUCAGGGCAGAGAAUGCCUCUGGGGUAGGCAAGAUGGAGGAAGCAUCCAAGGCCUCCCACACCGCCCGUAUACUGAACAUAGUUGGGAUUGUCCUAGGAAUCAUUUUUAUCAUCUCCAUGAUCAUCUUCGUGAUCGUGACGAAGACCGCGCGCUGACAGAGCGGCUUCAGCUGCCAAGAACUCACCAGCCACAGCCAUUUGCAUGUAUCCAUUGCAAGCUCCUUUUUCCUGACUCUAAGAAACGUGGGCCCACGAAACCAACCAUCUGGGUCUAGGCAAGCCCUGAGGGUGUCUGAAGAUGUCCUGUACAAGCACCCACGGCCUGUCCUCUUGGAAGCAUUUCUUAGCAGUUAAUUGCUUUGCCCUUUCCUAGCUGUGCUUUCCCGAUCCAUGCACAUGUACAUGUAACAAGACAUAAUAAAAGUGAAUUGUGUAA